AAAUAAUAAGAACAUGAUGUUGGUUCAGAUUAAACGCUAAAUAAGGACAUGACACAUGCAAAUCAGACGUUAAUAAUAAUGUAAUUUAUUAAUUAAUAUGUGGUGUACCCGUGAGUAAAGAUUAGAAUAGGAACUAUAAAUUGAGUUAAAUACUUAAUAAUAGAUAAAGAUAUAUAUAUUUUGUAUAUAUUGUUUAUAGUCUAGCUAAUAUUGAUUUAGGUAAUAGAAUAAUUAAACCUUAUUCUAGCCGAAGAUUCAUAAUCAUUAAUGAAAGUUAUAAUGAUCACGUUGACUAUGAGAGACAGUCAAUAUCUAAAUGAUACAGCAGUGGGGAAUAUUGGACAAUGAUCGAAAGAUUGAUCCAGUCACUUAUUAGGAUGAAAAUUAUAAUAUAGUAAUAUAUAUUAUAUAUUAAUAGUAAUUAAUAAAGUCCUUAGAUUAAUUUAAAUAAUGAUUGAAUUAUAUAAAUUAUAGUAUAUAUAUAAUUAUUUUUAUUAUAUAGAAUGUAUUUUUUAUAUAUUUUAUAGUUAUAUUUUUAUAUAUAUUGAGAAGUCCUAACAAACAUUUGUGCCAGCAGCUGCGGUAAUACAAAGAGGGCUAGCGUUAAUCAUAAUGGUUUAAAGGAUUCGUAGAAUGAUCAUAUUAAAUAUAUGAUUAGAAUUAUUUUAUAUUAAUUAAAGAAUUAUAAUAUUAGUGAUGAAAUGCAGUAACGAUUAUAAGACUGUCAAGUGUGAAGAUUUUAAUUAAUAGAUAAUUGACAUUGAGGAAUGAAGGCUAGAGUAGCGAUUUGGAUUCGAUACCCAAGUAGUUCUAGCAGUAAACUAUGAAUACUAAUUGUUAUAUUUAUAUAUUAUAUAAUGAUUAAAUGAAAAUGUUAAGUAUUCCACCUGAAGAGUACGUUCGCAAGUAUGAAAUUCAAGACAAUAGACGGUUACAGACUAAAGCAGUGGAACAUGUUAUUUAAUUCGAUAAUCCCCGACAAUCUUACCAUAUUUUGUAUAUUAUACAGGUGUUACAUCGUUGUUUUCAGUUCAUGCUGCAAAGUGUUAGAUUAAUCAUCAAUGAACAAAUCUCCAUAUAUAUAUGAUAAAUUAUAUAUAAAAUAAUUAUUAAACAAUAAUAAUUAUGAAAGGAAUUAAGACAAAUCAUGAUGACCCGAAUAGUAUGGGCUAUAGACGUGUUAUAAGAUAAUGUACAAAAUUAUAUUAAAGUUAAUUAAAUUAAUAGAAUUAAUAAUAUAAAACAUUAUAAGAAUUAUUAUAUUGGUAUAAUAAAUAGUAUGGAUUAUUAUCUGAAAUUCGAUAAUAUGAAAUAAGAAUUGCUAGUAAUACGUAAUAAAGACAAUUACGGUGAAUAUAUUAACUGUUUCGCACUAAUCACUCAUCACGCGUUGAAACAUGAUAUCAUCUAAAGUUAUAAUCUUAUAUUUAACUAAUUAAUCAAUCAUUAAUUAUGAUUUAUAUAUUUUUAAUUAUAAUCAAGAGAUAUGAUGAAUUAAUGCGAAGUUGAAAUACAGUUACCGUAGGGGAACCUGCGGUGGGCUUAUAAAUAUCUUAAUAUUCCAU
rnacentral:ncRNA from 1 species